AGCGAAUUAUAGGCUUGAGAAAUCCCGGACAUGCCCCAUAAUACGAACAUAGUCGUAAUUCCGGCAAACCGGAUGCGUUUCGGACGGCGGUUCGAUUCCGCCCACCUCCACCACUGGGGGGGUGCACUGGCUUCGACGGGGCGAACAAGGCUAGCAGGCGACUCGUCAGGCGAUCGACGUUAAUGAAGCAAAUCUCUAAACGCCAACGAUGAGCGUUUUGCACUGGCCGCUUAAGGCCUAUGCCGAGGCUGCUUGAGCCUUGUAAUCAAAGAAAAGCCGGCGGGGGCUUGGUGA
rnacentral:tmRNA from 1 species